rnacentral:tRNA from 1 species
UACCCGAUGGUGUAAUCGGUAGCACAGCUGGUUUUGGUCCAGUCGGUCGGGGUUCAAGUCCCUGUCGGGUAGCCA